UACGUAGGGACCAAGCGUUGUUCGGAUUUACUGGGCGUAAAGGGCGCGUAGGCGGCUUAACAAGUCACUUGUGAAAUCUCCGAGCUUAACUCGGAACGGUCAGCUGAUACUGCUUUGCUAGAGUGCAGAAAGGGCAAUUGGAAUUCUUGGUGUAGCGGUGAAAUGCGUAGAUAUCAAGAGGAACACCUGAGGCGAAGGCGGGUUGCUAGGCUGACACUGACGCUGAGGCGCGAAAGCUAGGGUAGCAAACGGG
rnacentral:rRNA from 1 species